rnacentral:rRNA from 1 species
CAGCCGCCGCGGUAAUACGAAGGGUGCAAGCGUUAAUCGGAAUUACUGGGCGUAAAGCGUGCGCAGGCGGUUUGUUAAGACAGAUGUGAAAUUCCCGGGCUCAACCUGGGAACUGCAUUUGUGACUGGCAAGCUAGAGUGUGGCAGAGGGGGGUGGAAUUCCGCGUGUAGCAGUGAAAUACGUAGAUAUGCGGAGGAACACCGAUGGCGAAGGCAGCCCCCUGGGCCAACACUGACGCUCAUGCACGAAAGCGUGGGGAGCAAACAGGAUUAGAUACCCCGGUAGUCCCUGUCUCUUAUAC